AUCCAGCAAUGUCAGCAACAGUGGGAUAUUUAUUAGAUAAAUUCCUGCAGAAUUUUCUUGGAAAUAAUUAAUUUUAAAGAGUUUUUUAAAAUUAAUUUCAGCUCUGUCAAUGGGAGGGAAUCUCCUGGGAGUUCCUCAUUAUGGAACUCCAAUUCCGUAAUUCACCUCAUCCAUGAGGGCUGUAAUUCCAGGGCUUGGAGCUGCUUAAGAACUGGAGCAAAAUCAUUUAAAAAUUUUUAAAAACAAAAUUAGUUUUUGAACUUAAUUUUUACAAAGUGCAAAUUUUAAAUUUAGUUUAAAAAGAAAGAAAUGGUAGGAAUCUUUAAUGCAAAAUCCUAUAACUUUUUUAUUGUUUGUACUCAUUAUUUACUAUAAUAAAUUUAUUUCUCUGUAAAGGUCCUAACAAAAAUUUAUUGCUCUACAAAAUAAAACACAAAAACAUAAAAUAAAUUCAAAAAUUCAAAAUGGGUUUUAAUUUUUAUUUUUUUAUUUAAAUUCAGAAUUGAAAUCUCAAUUUUUAAGCAUUUUUAGCUGCAUGAAAGUUUCCCAACUCCAGGGGAAAAAAAAGAAAAAUCUCCUUUUUUCCAUUUCUAAUAAUUUGUCUAAUUGGAAUCUAAUUAAUAUCUUAAACUCUUACCAAUUUAAAUGUUUAAAGGCAAAACUUUAAUUUAUUAUUAUAUAAGUUUAAAUGGAAAUAUUGAAGACCUGAAGAAAGCCUUUAUGUGUAAAUUUUAUGUUAAAUUUUAAAUUCAAGUCCAUUAAUUUAAAUUAAAUGACAAUUGAAAAUUAAAUUGAAUUUUAAAGUUAAGCCUUGGACUUGAGGCUUCCAAAAUCUCCCAGGAAUUAGUGGAAUUAUAAACUUUUGAGGAUAUUUCAUCUGGCUGGGAAUUUUAUUUGGCAGUCUGCCACAGGUCAAUUUUUAUUAAUUAAUUAUUGAAUUAAUCACAAGAUUUCCAACUCCUGGACAAGUUUAAUUUGCCAAUAACUUGGAUUAUAUCCCAAAAUUCAAUCCUAGUUUUUCAGCAGCUGCCUUUUAGUAUGAAAACGCAAUCAAGAGUAAACCUCCAAAAACUCAAAAAUUGGAGCCAGUUUUCCCAAAAUUUUGCCUAAUUGGGAAUAAGUAACAAACAAUUAAUGACUAAUCCACUAACUUGGAAUAAUAUCCUGUUAUUCCCAAGGAUUUGAACAAAAUCCUGUGGGUUUUUUUCCUGCCUUAAAAUUUCAAAUAGUGAGGGGAAUUCUUGGCAGGAAUAUUUUAGGAGGUGUUGAAUUCCUUGGAAUUCAAACUUAUCCCAAAAGGGAGAAAUAAAUGGAAUAUUUGCGCUUUUUCCCGGGAAUAUUAAUGGAUAAAAACAUCUCCUGCAUGCCCUUGCUUUGCUCUGCUGCCACUACAUUUAUUGUUAUUAUCUCUCCAUGCUGCCCAUUUAUUUUUGGGAAGAUGAGGACACGGAAAAAUCCCUGCUCCGUGGACAAAGUUUGGCUGGAAAAACACCGGAACGACGAAGCCGAGCGGGAAGCGCUGGAGCGGGAAGCGCCGGAGCCCGAGGCCGUCAACGGGAUCUGCCACGAGGAUUCCAUCGAGGGGGAGUUCAAGGGGGACCCGAAAAAACCCAGGAAUGGCAAAAAGCAGCGGAAAAGGAAGCGCUCCCCGAAACCCAAAGCUCAGGAUUCCAAGCUGGAGGCGAUCCUGGCGGGAAUGUCGGCGGAGCACGUGUGGUUUGACAAGCCCUUGUAUGACCGCGCCGAGAGCGCCUACAGGAUAAAAUUAGCAGGUUCCCAGAGUUGGGAAUCAACUGAGACUGGAAAAAUGGCUCAGGAAUCUCCUGCCAUGGCCAGGUCGAAAUCCAGCCAAGAUAUUCCCAAGGUGAGGAUGCUCCCGGCGUGUUCCCACGGAAGCCUGGCCGCCUGUCACCACGUUGUCCAAGGGGUUUGGAUCAACAAGUUUGACUUCGAUAAGGCCGAGAGGGCGUUCAUGGAGAAAUCCCAAUUUUUCCUUCCUCCCAACGUCCUGGCCAUCCCAUCUGUGUGGGCGAAUUCCAGGCUGGGAACGCCGGAUGAGGGCUAUGGCACGGCCUUGCCCACUCCUGCCACGCCAGGCUUGGCUCCUGGCAUUCCCAACUCUCCUGUGGCCUCUGUUCCCAGUUUGCCCAGCUCCGACCAGCAGACGGUCAAUGGGAAGCCGCAGAUUUCCAACUGGGAAGUUCUGGCAUCCGAGGUGUGGCUGGAAAAGCCUCUCUACGAUGAUGCUGAGAAGAAUUUUUAUGAGAAGAUGUUGGAUGAAACCCAACAUGGCUGUCUGGAAGCAUCCAAGAACCACAACCCUGGGAAGGAAACUGGAAUCACCUCCACCAACCCUGAGCUCCCUGAUAUUCCCAAGGAAAAUCCCACCUGCUUUUUCCUGCACAAGGACAGUGAAUCCGUGUGGCUGAAUAAGGUGACCUACGACAGGGCAGAAUCCAGAUAUUUUGCCCUGGAAGCGGCCAGAGCAGCAGAGAAAACAGGGAUCCAGGAAUCUGCUGCAGGAAAUCCCUCCCAUCCAGCUGCUCCGAGCAUUCCCGCUCCGGAAACGAAUCUGGAUCAGCUGAUUCAUCCCAUCCCCACUCCACACCCAGGUCAGGCAGGAAAAUGGCUGUGGAUUACUUCCUGCACGACAAGAUCUGGUUCGAGAAGUUCAAAUACGACGACGCCGAGCGAAGGUUCUACGAGCAGAUGAACGGCCCCAUGGGUGGCCCCUCCCGCCAGCAGAAGACCCCUGCUCAGAGCAAGGAAGCUCCUUGUGCCCGUCCCAAGAAACAGUCGGGACGCUCCGCCAGUGCAAGCACAACCUCCUCUGGAGCUGCUGGUGACCAAAAUGAGCUCCUGUCCCGAAUUUCCCACC